rnacentral:tRNA from 1 species
GCCGGAGUGGUGAAAUGGGUAGACACGCUGGAUUCAAAAUCCAGUGGCCUCACGGCCGUGCCGGUUCGACUCCGGCCUCCGGUACCA